CCUACGGGUGGCAGCAGUGAGGAAUAUUGGUCAAUGGGCGCGAGCCUGAACCAGCCAAGUAGCGUGAAGGAUGACUGCCCUACGGGUUGUAAACUUCUUUUAUAAAGGAAUAAAGUGAGGCACGUGUGCCUUUUUGUAUGUACUUUAUGAAUAAGGAUCGGCUAACUCCGUGCCAGCAGCCGCGGUAAUACGGAGGAUCCGAGCGUUAUCCGGCUUUAUUGGGUUUAAAGGGAGCGUAGGUGGGUUGUUAAGUCAGUUGUGAAAGGUUGCGGCUCAACCGUAAAAUUGCAAUUGAUACUGGCAGGCUUGAGUACAGUAGAGGUAGGCGGAAUUCGUGGUGUAGCGGUGAAAUGCUUAGAUAUCACGAGGAACUCCGAUGGCGAAGGCAGCUUACUAGACUGCCACUGACAUUGAUGCUCGAAAGUGUGGGGAGCAAACAGGAUUAGAUACCCGUGUAGUC
rnacentral:rRNA from 1 species